AAUUGUAUCUGACUCCCCAAAGAGUUACUUUGACUUUCAGAGGUGACAAUCUCACCACCAGAGGCGGUCAGUCAUCAUGGUUUUAUAGGGUUUGACCACAAGCUGCCCUGGGGGAUUCAAAAGGAACAGGAGACUACUCCAAUCAAUCCCAAAGAGUUCACCACCUAGGCCACACAUACUUCUAUAUCAUGCCUGGAAAACAUCAGUUAGUAUCAAAGAAGAUCCUAGGUGAAGAAUCAAUGAAAGGCACUCACCAUUUAUAGCCAAAUGGUGUUAACCAUGAACAUUGUGAAAGAUGCUGAGGGGUGAGCUGGCCAUACUACUCGCUCAUGUCAUAUUAUCAGUAGUUUAUGGAAGUUUUCUCACUUGUUUUAUUUAUGCUUAUCCCCUCCCAUUUCUCUCCCCCAUUCUACAUGAGUAAUCAUUCUCAUUUGUUAAUGUAUACAUCUUUGUAUGUGUUCUUGCAAAAUAUGCAUUUUACAUGUAUGCAUAUCUUGUAAAUAAAC